rnacentral:rRNA from 1 species
UACGUAGGGUGCAAGCGUUGUCCGGAAUUAUUGGGCGUAAAGAGCUCGUAGGCGGUCUGUCACGUCGGCUGUGAAAACCCGAGGCUCAACCUCGGGCCUGCAGUCGAUACGGGCAGACUAGAGUUCGGUAGGGGAGACUGGAAUUCCAGGUGUAGCGGUGAAAUGCGUAGAUAUCUGGAGGAACACCGGUGGCGAAGGCGGCAUCCUGGACCGACACUGACGCUGAGGAGCGAAAGCCAGGGGAGCAAACGGG